UGCUUACAAUUUACUAGAAUCUUCACAUUGCAAGUCUGAUGUAAGGUGUAACCCUAAAAAGUAUAAUCCUAGCUCUAAGUUGUGAAUUAGAUAGGCAAUCAAAAAUCUCAUCACUCAACAUGACUUUUAAAUAACAAACAUGGCUUUUACAGAACAAAAAUUGCAAUUUUUUGUAUGAGAUUGUACAUAGGAUACUUUGUAAGAAAUUAUUGUUUGCAUGAUCUGGGUAUAUCCAAAGGCUAUGUGUACCCGCAAGUGGAUGCUAGUAUAUAUAUAUAUAUACAUAUAUAUAUAUAUAUGUUCUUGUGUGUCUGUUCAGAUUCUGCAAAAAAUCAUACCUCAGUUUUAUGUAAUCCCCUACUUGGAGGCUAUCCCGAAUAAAUAACAGUAAUAAUAAGACAAUAUAAAAACAAUGCCUAUCAACACUCUCGUUGGCAUGGAAUGAGAAUUUGCAAUGAAUCCAAUUCGAUAACGAUAAAAAUAGAAAGAAAUCACUUAAGAAGCAUUAUAUUCUCGCAGAAAUUUCAUCAUGAAGCCAAUGAUGAGCGAGUUUUGUUAUUUUGUUCUAUUUUUAUCAUGGUGGCAUGUGUGGGGUUCCUGGCAUGAUUCUGUGCGAAGACGUUUGUCAGAGAACACGGUGCCCCAGUUUGGCUGAAUUCAUGGACCCAAUAGAACCCCACUGACAACAAAAUUAGGGUUCAAUGGAAAACUAUAAACGACUAAGAAUGAAAGAAAAGAAUGAAGGGUUUCCUCGAUUCCAGAGCCCAUUGCCUGCUGUGGCUCUGCACCAACUCAGAGGCAGAGGCAGCUCAUACCUGACACAAACGACAACUCCCAUUCGCUGCUUCCUGACAAUGUGCCCUCUACUUGUCAGCCUCGAUGAAUCCCAUGUUUAGGGCUAAGGGUUUUGGGUUUUGGGAACCAACACAAGUUGGGCAAAAAGCUACGCUCAUUGACAUCUCUUGUGCAGCUCACUGCUCUUUUUCCAACAAAAUAUAUUAGAGUAUGAUCUUAACGAGUUAAAUGAAAAUCCGUGAAGAUUAUUUUUGCUUUUAAAAUCCUUCGUCAUUGUUAGUUUCCCCACAAAUCAAAAAUCACACCUUUGUUAGUAACUUUUAUAAGAAAACAUGUACGACGUCAAUGUUUGUAUUUUCUGAAUUAAUCAUCCGUCUACUUCGAUUUCUUUUGUAAAAUCUUUUUUCUUUUCCUGCAUAAUCUAAACGAAUGAAAUCAGCAGUUAUUCAAAGUCAAAAACACAGUGCAAGUCAGUCAAAGCUUGAACUUGGAGAUGCCAGACUCACGAUGUGCACGACACGGCAAGAGAAAGUGAGAGUGAGAGAGAUGAAUAAAUUAAUGUGUUGAUGAAUGAUUCUGGCUCUGAUUGCCUCCAAAUCCAAUACAAUUGGGCGAGUCAGGUCUGGAAUGUUAAGUUUGAGAUUAUAAAAUUCAAAAGCCUGGAGAACAGAAUAGAAAACUUUUAAUAAACAAGUUCUGAUAAUAAUGAUAAAAAUAAAAAUAAUAUUAAUGCAGGGUUAUGUGUGCUAUACCCCAAAGGUUCUGCAUGAAUGAGGACCAAAAGGAAGGGAAGGCUUUCAUUAAAAUCUGCCUCGUGUUCUGUUUGAAGAGAAUAAUUUCAGUGCCACGUGGGAUCGGUCUCUCAUCUCAUCAUGGUGUCCACGUGGCGUCCCUCAGGGAUUCUGUAGCCCCCAGAAAAUGAGACAGAGAAAUUAUUUGAAGGCAGAAGAGAUAAAAACAUUUAUUGUUUGUAAGAAUCGGCACACAUGAAAUGUAUGGAAUUUGCGCCUUCUGCCAAUUGCUUUGGGUGGAACAUAUAUUUUUUUUAAUGUUUUGUUGAUGUGAGUGUUGAUGAGAUUAAAGAAACAAGAAUUUGAAAAAUGAAAAUAUCUGAAGUAUGAGUAUGGUUAAAUAUAUAUGAGUGUGUGUGUGUGCGUGUAUAUAUAUAUAUAUAUAUGUAUAUAUAUUCAUUUGAGAACUGAAGAAUACAAUAUCCAAACCUACCAAAAAGAUGAUCAAUUCAGUUUAAGUCCAUUAAGGGAAUUAAUAUAUUGUUGACACACACACACACACACAUAUAUAUAUAUAUAUAUAUAUAUAUAUAUAUCCUCCACAACAGGAAGUUUAUAUUGAUUGUUACAAGAAGUAUGUUUUGAAAUAGUAACAUGACCUUAAGUUGUAAACGUUUUAUAACUCAAGUCCACCAAAAAGAUUGCGCUUUUUACCAGUAAAAUUCUAGUUUUUUUGACUCGGAGUUGUGUACACGGUUAAUCUUUUAAAACUCAAAUCAACUGACAUAUUUUCUUAAUAUCACAGCAUUGAAAAAUCCUAGCCCGAUAGUUUAUUUUAUUUUAUUAUGAAAUGUUGCAACAUACCAAAUCAUUCAAAUAAAUAUUUCAAAACUCAGCUUCUUAUUCCAGCUUUAAUUCUUUUUUGAAUAUGUAAGGAACAACAUAGUUCUAAUUAAUGAAUUGGUGGCGUAACUUUGGGCAUUCUACUGUAUCACCAGAAACAAUGUUUUUCAAGAAGUAAAUUAUUUUACGGAGAAAAUAAUCCCAACAUUUUCAUUCCUGUUACUGGUUUGAAAUUUUUUACCGACCAGUCAAAGUCCCUCAUGCUACUUCCUACUCCACAGAUUCAAAACACUUUGCUGAACUGAAAUGCUUCUACAAUGCAUGACAAUCAAAUUGUUACAUCUAGGAAUGAAAAUCGUUACAAAUAACGGGGUUCAAAACUCAAAUUUUACAAUGAAUAAUGCAUCUUGGCAUUAUUGAAACCUCUGAAGAAGUUAAUCCCUAAUAUAGAGAGGGAGAUCUUGAAGGUGAGCAUGCAGUAUUUACAGGCAUGCUUUCUCAUUGGGUUGCCUGGAGUUUGAUAAGAGCACCGUUAACACCAGUCAAGUCGGCCGAAGUGCAUCGUGCUCAGUAACCUUUGCGCUGGUUGACACAGAUCACAACGAUUCAGAUCCACGAUUCUUAAGAAAAUUCAGUGGGGAUUUCACUAUGUCUCCUGUUUGUUUGCUUUGUUGUUUUGUUUUGUUUUGUUUUUUGUACAAAAAUGGGGUGUACUCGGUGCAUUGUUAUAAUGAAGUGUUACAGAAAGACACUGUAACCCCUAAUACCCAAUUGGGCGGGGUUAAGAGUACUAUUUGAAGUAAGAUUUAUUACUUCUUAAACCGUUACACUAGCGUGUAUGAUUAGACCAUUUGUGGUACUUUAAAGUUCCAUUAAAUAGCCAUGUCUCCUGUUGGAAAGCAUCGGAGAAUGGCCAGCCCCCAAGUAUUUGCAAACGCUACCAAUUGCUCUGAAUUAAAGUGUUAUACAAAACUUGAUGGGCUGGACUGUGUUUGUGUACGCAAACUUCUGCUAUCCAGUGUCCGAUGAAGAGGAUUAAACAGCAUUGAAUGCUUCGGCAGUGAAAGGUUUCCACUUCUAGUUUCGUAACAUUCGUCCGCUUUCAACUCUGUAGAUCACAAGAACGGAGAAUCAGUGCACACUAGAACACAUGCUCGAAGAUGAAUCAUCAGCUGAAAGUGAAUCCAAUCAACGGUUCAAAGAAAGAAGCUAUCUCAACAGCCUUUCUGCCGCAGUGUUGACUGAUCAUCCUGAUGGAGAUCCACGACCAACACGUACAAUUCCGAUCCAGGCCUUGAAAUGGCAAGUUUCGAGUACAGCGGUACCUAAUAUCUUGGAAGCAGCUUUUAAACUGAAUGUUACGGAUAUUUUGAGAUGCAGGACAACGAUUUUGGUCUAGAGAUAGUCCCUAUAGGCUAUCAGAACUUUAUCUUUAUUUUUAAUUAUUUAUUUUGAUUUUCUGGAGAUAACGCCAGUUUCAAUGUUCGCUACAUAUCUCGAAACAGAAACUCGCGUUGAGAAUGACCGUUCAGGAUACGAUUAGCCUCGCCAUGUCGCUAACUAAUUUCAUCAAAGAGUUUUGUUUGAUGUUGGGGCACUUUCACAACAACAACAAUCUUUGCCCAGUAUGAAGAGCAAGCGCAGUGUCUUCACUGCUCCACUUUCACUGUUCACAGUACCCUUGCGUUACAGCCAUCACCUUGACAAAGCUCCAUGCUCAAUGAUUUCUAUAUUACUGCUUCAAGUAUGCGGCGGACGAGAGAAUUGGACGCCGAGGAAUCCAAUAGCGACG